rnacentral:rRNA from 1 species
UAAGCGAAGCCGAAGCGAAAGCGAGUCUGAAUAGGGCGUUUAGUUGUUGGAGGUAGACCCGAAACCGAGUGAUCUAUCCAUGGCCAGGUUGAAGCGCGAGUAAGAUCGCGUGGAGGACCGAACCCACCAAAGUUGAAAAUUUGGGGGAUGAGCUGUGGAUAGGGGUGAAAGGCUAAACAAACUUGGAGAUAGCUGGUUCUCUCCGAAAACUAUUUAGGUAGUGCCUCAAGUAUUACCUGCGGGGGUAGAGCACUGUUUUGGCUAGGGGGUCAUGGCGACUUACCAAACCAAGGCAAACUCCGAAUACCGCAGAGUACAGCUUGGGAGACAGAGCACCGGGUGCUAACGUCCGGACUCAAGAGGGAAACAACCCAGACCGCCAGCUAAGGUCCCUAAUAUUGGCUAAGUGGGAAACGAAGUGGGAAGGCUAAAACAGUCAGGAUGUUGGCUUAGAAGCAGCCAUCAUUUAAAGAAAGCGUAAUAGCUCACUGAUCGAGUC